CUUCUGAUCUCCAGGAAUUGAUUCGUAUGCAGCCAAUUCAAUACCUUCUUGAACUUUCUGUAUUGUCGCAUCUUUUGGAAUGAGAUAGGAGGACGUUUCCACACUUUCACUGUAAUACUGUAAGCGAUGCCAGUUAGCUCUCAACGCGGAUGAACUUUCUCACCCGUUUCAUUUUCUAGAGUAUCAGCGUAAAGGAUCAGAGUCAGAAAUAUCAACUUACAUUUAUUGACUGUCAAAGCCACGUGAACGUGCAGCGAUGAAAAGCGCAGGUGGACGGUCGGUGAUCAACAGAAAGAAAGUGUAGUUCUCAGCUGCGUCUACGCAACUCGUUAACGUUCCCAGGGUUAAUUGGUAAAAGGAAGUAGGUCUCGCGAUCGCAAAAAACCGAUCCGUGAUGAAUGGGAGUCACGUUGAGAGCGUCGUGUUUCACAAUCGGUUGCCACGAAGCGAAACUAAGCGCGCGGCCGGCAGAAGCGGCUUUUAUACUCAAGAUGGUCACCACUCCUGUCUAUACCGAGGAUCCACCUUCCAAUUUCUUCAAAGUUGCAGGAAGAGACGAGUCACUUUUGCUUUCGUUUGCCUCGCUGUCCGAGUUAACAUUGCUUUGCUAUUGAUGCAGUAUUACCGUAAUGUCACCGGUGAUUGCAACUUGCACGGCUCAUUGUCAUAACGCCAAUUCAUGUUCAUUCAUACAUCAGUUUUUUUACAGGCUUCUUGUGAAAGAUACAUUACGUAUGAUCUAUAACAUUUCUUCAACUGUGACAAAUCACUGAAGAUGAUAUUUGAGGAUAUAGAAAUUUAGGAACACAACAAUUUUAACCUUUAAAAAUUGAAUUACAAGAAAUUUAAGAAUUGAGAAAAUGUAGGAACUUAAUAAUUUGAGAACUUAAGUAUUAAUUGUACAGUAAGUUGCAACCUAACUCGUGGCAAUAUAAUGCGUGGUAAUAUAAUACAUAACGGCAUCACAUACUUUGAAUUCCACAUCGCUGAUACUAC